UACAGAGGUCUCAAGCGUUGUUCGGAUUCAUUGGGCGUAAAGGGUGCGUAGGUGGCGCCGUAAGUCAGGUGUGAAAUCUCGGGGCUUAACCCCGAAACUGCAUUUGAUACUGCGGUGCUUGAGGACUGGAGAGGAGACUGGAAUUCAUGGUGUAGCAGUGAAAUGACGUAGAGAUCAUGAGGAAGACCAGUGGCGAAGGCGGGUCUCUGGACAGUUCCUGACACUGAGGCACGAAGGCCAGGGGAGCAAACGGG
rnacentral:rRNA from 1 species